rnacentral:rRNA from 1 species
CCUACGGGUGGCUGCAGUGGGGAAUAUUGGACAAUGGGGGCAACCCUGAUCCAGCCAUGCCGCGUGUGUGAAGAAGGCCCUCGGGUUGUAAAGCACUUUCAGUGAGGAAGAACGCCUGGUGGUUAAUACCCAUCAGGAAAGACAUCACUCACAGAAGAAGCACCGGCUAACUCCGUGCCAGCAGCCGCGGUAAUACGUAGGGUGCGAGCGUUAAUCGGAAUUACUGGGCGUAAAGCGCGCGUAGGUGGCUUGAUAAGCCGGUUGUGAAAGCCCCGGGCUCAACCUGGGAACGGCAUCCGGAACUGUCAAGCUAGAGUGCAGGAGAGGAAGGUAGAAUUCCCGGUGUAGCGGUGAAAUGCGUAGAGAUCGGGAGGAAUACCAGUGGCGAAGGCGGCCUUCUGGACUGACACUGACACUGAGGUGCGAAAGCGUGGGUAGCAAACAGGAUUAGAUACCCUUGUAGUC